rnacentral:rRNA from 2 species
GACCGCGACCCCAGGUCAGGCGGAUCC